GUGCCAGCCGCCGCGGUAAUACGUAGGUGGCAAGCGUUGUCCGGAUUUACUGGGUGUAAAGGGCGCGUAGGCGGGACUGCAAGUCAGAUGUGAAAUCUGGGGGCUUAACCCUCAAACUGCAUUUGAAACUGUGGUUCUUGAGUAUCGGAGAGGCAGGCGGAAUUCCAAGUGUAGCGGUGAAAUGCGUAGAUAUUUGGAGGAACACCAGUGGCGAAGGCGGCCUGCUGGACGACAACUGACGCUGAGGCGCGAAAGCGUGGGGAGCAAACAGGAUUAGAAACCCGGGUAGUCC
rnacentral:rRNA from 1 species